rnacentral:rRNA from 1 species
CAGUAGCCGCGGGAACACGUAGGUGGCAAGCGUUGUCCGGAAUUAUUGGGCGUAAAGGGCUCGCAGGCGGUUUCUUAAGUCUGAUGUGAAGCCCCCGGCUCAACCGGGGAGGGUCAUUGGAAACUGGGAAACUUGAGUGCAGAAGAGGAGAGUGGAAUUCCACGUGUAGCGGUGAAAUGCGUAGAGAUGUGGAGGAACACCAGUGGCGAAGGCGACUCUCUGGUCUGUAACUGACGCUGAGGAGCGAAAGCGUGGGGAGCGAACAGGAUUAGAUACCCCUGUAGUCCCUGUCUCUUAUACA